AUUCGGCUACUGAGAACGUCGUAGGCGGUGUUGCUGAGCAGUGGGGAGGAGUGGGCUCGCUUCCUGGGGUCUUUUCCGCCUGCAUCUUUUGGGGGACAGGCAGUAGGGUUGGGGUAAAGGCAUGUGGAAUGCUUGCUAAGGCCUGGAGUGGAGCGAGGCGAGGCGACUUGGAGAGGACUCGAAGGAGGUUGGGGAUCUGGGAGGGCGGAAAUGGGACGGGGACGGUGGGGUGAGGUCUUUGUCGUCCCUAAUCAGCGCCCUUACGGAUGAGCCGAGGCAGCUUCCGCUGUGAGCACGGGCACCGAAGCUGGGACAGCAGGCUUAGGUUCUAGUUCCGUGUCUGCUGCUAACUAGCUGUUUAACCUCGCUUAGGGCACUUCCCAUCUGUAAGCCUCACUUGCAGUCUGUGCUGUGAGUGGGGUCGGCCUCACAGGUAGUGAUGCGCCGCCUGGGUCCCUUUGAUAGUUUCAGAAAGCUUUCUUGAGACUCAGAAUAUUUAUUAGUUUUUAUCAAUAAAAAAAUCAUAGCAAUAAGAUCAAAGGUGGCUCACACCGUGGGAGGCGCAGGCGGGAGGAUCUCUUGAGCCCAGGAGUUCGAGACCAGCCUGGGCAACAUCGGGAGACCCCAUCUCUACAAAACAUUUAAAAAAAAUUAUCCAGGCGUGGUGGUGCGUGCUUGUAGUCCCAACUACUCGGGUAUCUGAGGUGGGAGGAUCAGUUGAGCCCAAGGAGUUUAGGGCUGCAGUGAACCUGGAUUGCGCUACUGCACUCCAGCCUGGGUGACAGAGUGAGACCCUGUCUCCAAAAUAAAUAAAUAAAUUCCAUAUAAAUAAAUAAAUGAAUAAACAAACUCCAUUGCUCAGUGGAAAGGUGCAGGAAGGCCUGGUGCAGACUUCUCAGCAGUGACCCAGUGUUGGGCAGAACUGUGGAGCCCCAAUUUCUGCUGAGCACUGGGCCUGUGCUGGGUGGGAGAGAAAAGAAAUACGGUCCCUUUAUGCUAAGUCAGUGGUUCUCAACUUUGAGUACAGUAUACAUUUCUUUACAGGGGAUUCUGGGAGUAUGUCCAAAGGUUUUAGUUUGAGAAACAUUGGCUUAAACAAUUUCUUUGGUGGUGACCUUGUACCAUUUUGAUUUUAAACAUUAGACUGCAGGCACUGAAAUUGGUUCAUCCCAGUGACCCCGCGUGCAUUGACUUUAUAAAAUUUAUGUAUUAGUUUUUGCAUAUGUAGUACACUUAUGCAUUUAUUUUAUACGUAUAAAAUUUGGAAAGACCACAUUUAAACCAAAACAUGCUGCCUUUGCAGAUGCCUGAAAAUUGUAAUUUAUGGGACUGAUAGAGAACUUUUAUUAUUUUUAAAAUUAACCAAUAAGAAUUGUAUGUAUUUAUGGUAUACAAUAUGGUUUGAAAUGUGUAUACAUUGUGUAAUGGCUAAAUGAGCUAUGAGCGAUGCUAAUACACUCAUUUUGUGAUGAGAACACUUCAGACCUACUCUCAGUGAAAUUCAGGUUAUUAACUGAAAUUCACUGUUAUUAACUAUAGUCACCAUGUUGUACAAUAGAGCCCUUCACAAAUGUGAACUUUAAAAUCAAAUGAGACAGCAGAAGAUGUUAGCCAGUUUCAGAGCUGUGUACUCAAGGGGGGCCCUUUUAGGCAAGACCUCUGUGAUUAUGGAGAUUAAUGAGAAGACCUGUGUCUUUGAAAGUUUUUUUCUAGGGUUGUUAGGACUCUUAACUCCCAGUUGACUCCUUCUGGGAUCCCUGGAUAACUGCCAGUCUCCCCUCGAAUUCCCUGAUGGUGGUGGGGUGGGUCGUCCUUGAGUUGCAAUUACAACAUAGUUCCUUCAUCAUUAAAAUAUUUUUUUUUUUGAGACGGAGUCUUGCUGUGUUGUCCAGGCUGGAGUGCAAUGGUGUGAUCUCGGCUCACUGCAACCUCUGCCUCCUAGGUUGAAGUGAUUCUCCUGCCUCAGCCUCCUGAGUAGCUGAGAUUACAGGCACACACCACCACGCCCAGCUAAUUUUUGUAUUUUUAGUAGAGACAGGGUUUUACCAUGUUGGUCAGGUUGGUCUCGAACUCCUGAUCUCAUGAUCCACCCGCCUCGGCCUCCCAAAGUGCUGAGAUUACAGGGGUGAGCCACUGCGCCCAGCCUAAAAUAUUUUUUAAAAAGCAAACAAACAAAAAAAAUAAAAAGCAAACAAACCACUUGAUUAUUCUCAGAAAAUGUUUCUGUAUGCAGAGAGAUACCUGUGAGGAUGUUUGUGAUUUUUGUUUAUAAUAGCAAAAACUUAAAAACAAUGCUAUAUUUGAUCAUAGUGGAUCAAGCAAAUUAACUAUGUGCUAAUUAGGUAAUUAGGUAUGCUAAUUAAUGCAUUAUUAAAUGCAUUAAUUUACCUGAUUAGUUAGCACACACUUAAUUUGCUUGAUCCACAGACCAAAUACAGGAUCACAAUCACAGGGUAAGCUUUCAUUUCAAAUUUCUUGGUAUCAUACCUGGAGAUUCGUUUUUAUCCAGUGGGUCUCAAUAAUCUGUUUUUAUAAGGUGGGUCCCAGUAAUCUGUUUUUAUAAACUGUUCCUAGGUAUGGCACAUUUGUUACAGUAGGUAGGUAGUCAGGUAUGAGCAGGGCAGGAGAAGGCUCCCCGCUACACACACCAGGGGUGUUGGGCCACCAUCAGGUGAUGGUCAGGUGGUUGUUAACUGUUUCUCUAAAGUAAUUGGCCACAGCUGGCGCUAGGGAACAGGCAGCCGCCUAACAGAUAGAAAACACCUGAAACUGAUCAGCAGCUUCCUGUAAGAUCUCAGGAGUGGGGAGAAGUAAUGUAAGAUCCUGGAAGUAGAUCCUGGAAGUAGGCCAACGUGUAAAACCCCAAGUCAAGGGGUCAGGCUGCGCUCUUGGUUUCUCAAGUUGCCUGCUUGUCCUUCCAACUUGUAUAAUACUUUCCUUUUCUUUCCUUUCCUUACUGUUCAAAAGCUUUGCUUUUUUUUUUUUUUUUUUCCGAGACGGAGUCUUGCUCUAUCUCCUAGGCUGGAGUGCAGUGGCACGAUCUUGGCUCACUGCAACCUCCACCUCCCAGGUUCAAGCGAUUCUCCUGCCUCAGCCUCCCAAGUAGCUGGGAUUAGAGACACACACCACCAUACCCAGCUAAUUUUUGUAUUUUUAGUAGAGAUGGGGUUUCACCAUGUUGGUCAGGCUGGUCUCGAAUUCCUGACCUUGUGAUCCACCCGCCUCGGCCUCCCAAAGUGCUGGGAUUACAGGUGUGAGCCAUCAUGCCCGGCCUAAAGCUUUUUAAUAAACUUCCACUCCUGCUCUGAAACUUGCCUUGGUCUCUUUCUGCUUUUUGCCCCUCAGUCAAAUUCUUUCUUUUGACAAGGCAAAGAUUGAAGUUGCUGCGAACGCGUACGGAUUCGUCUCCAGUUACUUGGGGUAACUCGGUUUGGUGCCAGCAGCC
rnacentral:lncRNA from 1 species